UACACUCCUGCGGGAGGCAGCAGUGGGGAAUUUUGGACAAUGGGGGCAACCCUGAUCCAGCAAUGCCGCGUGAGUGAAGAAGGCCUUCGGGUUGUAAAGCUCUUUUGUCAGGGAAGAAACGGUGGUGGCGAAUAACUACUACUAAUGACGGUACCUGAAGAAUAAGCACCGGCUAACUACGUGCCAGCAGCCGCGGUAAUACGUAGGGUGCAAGCGGUAAUCGGAAUUACUGGGCGUAAAGCGUGCGCAGGCGGUUGUGUAAGUCAGAUGUGAAAUCCCCGGGCUCAACCUGGGAAUUGCAUUUGAGACUGCACGGCUAGAGUGUGUCAGAGGGGGGUAGAAUUCCACGUGUAGCAGUGAAAUGCGUAGAUAUGUGGAGGAAUACCGAUGGCGAAGGCAGCCCCCUGGGAUAACACUGACGCUCAUGCACGAAAGCGUGGGGAGCAAACAGGAUUAGAAACCCCUGUAGUCCC
rnacentral:rRNA from 1 species